rnacentral:tmRNA from 1 species
GGGGGUGUACUGGAUUCGACAUUCGCUCCUAAGCGGUAUAAGCACGUCGUAGGCUCGGCUACGUUAAAACGGAACGUUAAAAUUAAACGCAAACAAAAAUUCUAAGAGCGUCAAUAAUAUGACGUUCGCCCUCGCUGCUUAAUUAUUGCGGCGCGUCGACCUGAGGUUUUCUGUUCCCUCAGCCAUCGGCGUCAGAAAAACAGACAACGCAAUCUGAUUGCUCGGUAGGAUUGUUGUCAUUACGAGCUUAUCAAACGGAGGUUUGCCGGUGAACCGAAGCGCGAAACAUUCAAUCACCCGCUAAACGUGUAGAAAGUGCCGAUGAUUGGCGUAUGGACCGGGGUUCGACUCCCCGCAUCUCCACCA